GAUGAACGCUGGCGGCGUGCCUAGUACAUGCAAGUCGAGCGAACAGACGAGGAGCUUGCUCCUCUGACGUUAGCGGCGGACGGGUGAGUAACACGUGGAUAACCUACCUAUAAGACUGGGAUAACUUCGGGAAACCGGAGCUAAUACCGGAUAAUAUAUUGAACCGCAUGGUUCAAUAGUGAAAGACGGUUUUGUUGUCACUUAUAGAUGGAUCCGCGCCGCAUUAGCUAGUUGGUAAGGUAACGGCUUACCAAGGCAACGAUGCGUAGCCGACCUGAGAGGGUGAUCGGCCACACUGGAACUGAGACACGGUCCAGACUCCUACGGGAGGCAGCAGUAGGGAAUCUUCCGCAAUGGGCGAAAGCCUGACGGAGCAACGCCGCGUGAGUGAUGAAGGUCUUCGGAUCGUAAAACUCUGUUAUUAGGGAAGAACAAAUGUGUAAGUAACUAUGCACGUCUUGACGGUACCUAAUCAGAAAGCCACGGCUAACUACGUG
rnacentral:rRNA from 1 species